rnacentral:lncRNA from 1 species
AGGGGAACGCCUUCAUGUCAGCAAUGAGGGUGACUCUAGUGACGGAACUAGUCUUGGGUCCCUGGGGCACCACCAGCCUCUCAGCAUCGGUGGUUUCUCCUUACUCUUCAGACGCUGCCAACUCCAUCCCCCAGGGAUUGUGAAGGGGGUUCCUUCUGGCUGUGACAGUGCUGAACGAGGCCAGAGAGUGCAGCUGCCUGGAGGCACAAGCCUCCUCCUGAUCCAGGGGACUCCAGGGAGACCAAAGCAGCUGUCAAGAUGAGAGAAAUUGAAAAAGAAAAUGGAAAACUCUCCAGCCUGGCUCUCAGCUUCUGCAUCUCCAUGCAAGACCAGAGACCCACAUCACUCCCUCACUCCACCCAGUUCCACUCCAACAAUACCUGGGCCCUGCCAGGAGUGAGAAAACGGUUCUCUUCCUGUGGAUAGGUUGCUCUCUCCUCUUCCAGAUCAGGGUAUUCAUUGGUGCUGGGGAAUCCACAGCCCUCUUCGCCAAGCACCACUGGCUCAGAUGCAGCCCCAGAGCUGCCCCACUGGGCCUUCUUCAGUCUGUGGAGACUUUAGGCUGAGGAGAGAAGUGCCUGGAGGCCAGGCUUCCUGUCUCUCCAUUCUUCACCUUUCUGUUCUGAAAUACUUCCUGCUGGGACUCCAGGGAGUUGUCAUUUGACCUUUAACCCUCCACUCCCAAUUUUCUGCUCCCCUCAGACUGAAGCAUAUUGUCUAGGAACCCAGAGGUGACCCCAACCUCCCCACUGUCCUCCAGUUCUAUGGUUUGCUUUCCUGUCUUCAGUGAUCUACUUUCCACUCCUUCCAGCUCAUGUGGCUCAUCCUCCUUACUGCAGUUCCCUCCUUCUUUCCAUAUUACAGAAAUCUGUUUCAAUCACACCAAAGCCCACAGCUUCCUUCCAAGCAACCUCCCCUCAAAGCUCCCCUCAAACCUCCCCUCAAAGCUGUCAACCCCUUCCUUAGCUCAAACUGUUCUGCCCCCAAAUCCUGCAUGACUCCCAGAACCCAGAUGUCUCCCUUCCUUACUCGUUGAUGAUGCUCUGACGCCUUCUUAGGUCCUCCAGGUGGUAAGUGACAGCCCUCACCCGGGCGGGGACUCCCCCAAGGCCCUGCUGCUGCAUUCCUUCCAAACAUGGCCUCCUCUUCUUUCUUCUCCAAAGCAUUUCAGGGGGUGGGAGCUGCUCAGGAGGAUACAGACCAAGCUGGGAGCAACCAGUGGCUCUCUGUGCCAGAGAAUGGGGAAAAAGAGCUAGAAAAAAGAACUGGCUCUCUCAAGGGAGCUUGGAUUGAACUAGGUAGGGAGUCUGGGGUCUUGGGAAGACCCCUGUGAUCUCGAAAACAUGAUGACUGAUUCAUAGAAAGGAAGGCCUGGUCAGUGCACUGGUUGGGGAAUAACAGAGGGAAGCGGUAAUAAGGAGAGCUUGGGACAGGAUAGCAGUGGGUGCAAUUUUAACAGAGAAAUGCUGAACGGCAGAGGGUCUGUCUUACCAGCGUGGGUGGAAUGUGCUGCUCCUCCAGCCAAGUGGGGCUGUGAAGAACAAAAAGGGGGCUAUA